rnacentral:lncRNA from 1 species
CCCACAAAAUUUAAAAAAAUAAAUAUAAAUUUAAGUUACAUAAAAAAAAUAAAAAUAAAAAUUUUAAUUUUAAAUAUAAAUUAAAAUUUAAAUUUAAAUUUUAAAUCGAAUCUCUUAUUUUGAUGGAUCGCGAGCGGGAACUAGCGCGAGCCGACGCGGAGCGGGCUUUUUUUUUUGCUUUUUCCCUGUGGAACCCACAAAAUUUUAAAAAAAUUAAAUAUAAAUUUAAAUUUUAAACUGAAUCUCUUCUUAACAGAAAUUAAAAUUUUGUACUUUAAUUUAACAUUUUAAAUUUAAAAUAUAAAUCUAUAUCUAUAUAUCCUUUUAAUCGGGAAUCCUACGCCGGUACGGCCGGACUCUCUGCGUUUCGAAUUUUAAACAACUCAGGUAAAGAAGACAACUCAAAAGAAUUAUCAUUUGAUUCUAUUAAUGUGUUAUGUUUACAAUUUUAAUUUAGAUCUUAAAAUAAAAAAAUUAAACAAGUUUGUUCAAAAUAUUUGGUAAAUUACGUAAAUUUUCCGCCGCGAAGCGCGGGUCUUCACUAGUAUUAUUAAUAUAUGAACAAAUCCAUAU